CUUUAAAUCCGUUGAAGUGAAGUCAGUUACCAUGGAAACGAGGCUACAAGGAACAACAGAAAGCGGCAAAGCUCCGUGUCUCUAUGGUUUUCUUCACUUUUUCAGGAGUGACAAAAUAACCCCUCUAUAAUAGAAAAUAAGCUCAAGAUUUCUGCAUUUUCGAAUGGAGCUGCUGACAGAGAUGUUUAAAAAGCUCAUUCAAUCACUUCAUAUGCACUUCCCAACAUUUGUCCAUGCUGAUGGCCAUGCAGCAGAGUUCAAGCAAACCUGUCAGAAAACAUCUCUAAGGGGCUAUGUAUGAACCAUAUGGCUAGAUACCCAUACAAGUUACAGAAGCUCCAGUAUGGAUCCAGCCUCACUUGUAAAGACUUCAGAUGAUGCCUACACUCUCAGAGACUUCAGAUGAUGGCAACUAGAUGGACAUACAAAACUGCCAAACAUUAUAUAUAUAUAUUGCACUCACUGCCUCAAAGCAUAGGUUUGCAGAUUUUCAACCCACGUUAUAUUUUUACAAUAAAUUGGGGUAUUUGAAUAGACCAUGUUAACGCUUUUUUUCUUGAGUUAAACUUAAAUUCCCAAUUAGUUCUUGACAAUACUCUGCCAGAUGACAGAUUUCAUAUAUUACAGACAUUGGAACAAUACAAAGUGGGUUGGAAAUCUGUAAACUUCCUUUAUAAUCAUAAUUGUCUGUUUAACUGAGCAUGACUUGAAACACAUGCCUUGUAUUAUCUUAGAGCUAAAUGAUUGCUGUAUUAGCAUUACUUCGUUACUUAAUGAGAUUAAUGCGUAUCCCUAAGUUUCACAGACAAGUCUUAAGCCUAUAGUCCUAGACUAAGACACAUGUUUGAGCUGUCUCAAUUGAAAAGAACUUUCAAUGCGAGAUUUUAAAAUAAACCAGUGCCAGUGAUUUGUCUUAAGAUAGACACCAGUAACAAUUUUUUUCUAAGGAAUGUUUAUUAAAGAUGCUUAAACAUCUUAAUUUAACUAAGGCAUAGUCUAGUAGCUUUAGCUAAGCCGUGUCUGUGAAACCAGGCCUUUAUACAUUUUCUUAAUGCAUUAAGAUAUGUAAGUUGAAUUAAAAGAUUAAAUUCGGUUUAAACUUUAUUGGUAAAACAUACCAAGCAGAUUAGCCCAGAAAAUAAACCAAAUGUGUUA